UACGUAGGCAGCGAGCGUUGUUCGGAGUUACUGGGCGUAAAGAGUGCGUAGGCGGUUUUCUAAGUUUGGUGUGAAAUCUCCCGGCUUAACUGGGAGGGUGCGCCGAAGACUGGAAGGCUUGAGUAUGGGAGAGGUAAGCGGAAUUCCUGGUGUAGCGGUGAAAUGCGUAGAUAUCAGGAGGAACACCUGCGGUGUAGACGGCUUACUGGACCAUAACUAACGCUGAGGCACGAAAGCGUGGGUAGCAAACAGG
rnacentral:rRNA from 1 species